rnacentral:rRNA from 1 species
UGGGGAAUAUUGCACAAUGGGCGCAAGCCUGAUGCAGCCAUGCCGCGUGUGUGAAGAAGGCCUUCGGGUUGUAAAGCACUUUCAGCGGGGAGGAAGGCGAUAAGGUUAAUAACCUUGUCGAUUGACGUUACCCGCAGAAGAAGCACCGGCUAACUCCGUGCCAGCAGCCGCGGUAAUACGGAGGGUGCAAGCGUUAAUCGGAAUUACUGGGCGUAAAGCGCACGCAGGCGGUCUGUCAAGUCGGAUGUGAAAUCCCCGGGCUCAACCUGGGAACUGCAGUCGAAACUAGCAGGCUAGAGUCUUGUAGAGGGGGGUAGAAUUCCAGGUGUAGCGGUGAAAUGCGUAGAGAUCUGGAGGAAUACCGGUGGCGAAGGCGGCCCCCUGGACAAAGACUGACGCUCAGGUGCGAAAGCGUGGGGAGCAAACAGG